rnacentral:ncRNA from 1 species
UUCGGACCGGCCCCGCCCUGCGGGAGGCGGUGGCUAUCCUGACCGCCUAUCCGUCAGGAAAUC